AGCCAAAGAGGGAAGAACGUCCUGAAUAUUGUUUACCUGUACCCAACCUGUAUCCACUGAGUGCAUACAUAUGUACACUUGUACCAAUGUACUAAGAACAAACAAAGAAGAUAUAAUAAAGAAUCAAGACUCAUAA